GUGAUUGGAUUGCAUGUGUUUGCAGGCUCCUUGCUUUGUGCAUCGAACUGUUGGCACACCAUCCGCUUCAAUUUUUCCCGAAGCCCUUUCCUUGGCUUGCGGGUUCGGUUGGUAUCCUGUGUUGCUUACCCCACGUAUUGGAAUUGAUUGGUUUCGGUGCUCUCAUCUGCCUUAUGCCUUUUUGGGUGUGGGGCGGACGCGAGGCGGGCUUUGUGCUCCUGGCAUGCUUCGUGCUAAGUUGCGUGGCUGUCUUGGCGCAUGAAGUCUUCGCUCGUGCUCUUGGAUGCGGAAUGUUUAUGCGUGGGCACGGGGCCUCGGCCUUGAUCCGCCCGAGCUUUACGCAAAUGUCCCUUGACGCGAAUGACAGCUGCUCCCGUCUCGAUUCCGCCGUGCGGUUCGUGCGGGAGUCGGCGUCACCAAGGAAUGCUACCUGGUUGAUCCUGCCAGUAGUCAUAUGCUUGUCUCAAAAAUUAAGCCAUGCAU
rnacentral:misc_RNA from 1 species